CAGACGGGUCCCUGCUGCUGGACUGAAGUCAUCAAACAGAAGAUUUGUUGGACAUCAAGCUGGACCAUCAGCUAAAUCUUCUCAAACAGGUGAUUCUUCACUCCUCUCACUGGAGCAGCUGUUGAAGGUUUCAGAGUCGACUCACCUACGACUCGCUCCAGUUUGAGGGCCUCAACAUCACUGUGGGAGAGCUGAAGCGGCAGAUCAUGAGGCGCGAGAGGCUGAAGUUCUGCCAGCUGAAGAUCAGCAAAGCCCAAACUGAUGAAGGUGAGAUGAGGAAAAGCCACUUAAACUAUAUUACACUAACAUUAGAUGUGU